rnacentral:rRNA from 1 species
AGAAUCAACGCUGGCGGCGUGCCUAACACAUGCAAGUCGCACGAGAAAGUGGAGCAAUCCACGAGUAAAGUGGCGCACGGGUGAGUAACACGUGAAUAAUCUACCUCCGAGUGGGGAAUAACUGAGAGAAAUCUUAGCUAAUACCGCAUAAUACCCACGGGUCAAAGCAGCAAUGCGCUUGGAGAGGAGUUCGCGGCCGAUUAGCUAGUUGGCGGGGUAAUGGCCCACCAAGGUGAUGAUCGGUA